rnacentral:misc_RNA from 1 species
AUGAUUAAUCGGGUUGCACCUGCUUUCCUUAUACCUGUUUUAUUCUCUGUGUUCUGCAUAUUUAUUGGGAUUUUUUCAGCAAGGAAGAAUGAUCCAACAACUGGAGUCACGGGCUUAAGUUUGGAAAGCUUCAAAGAUAACUGGAGUUCAGAUUAUCAAUUUACCAAUGAUGCAGGAAUACCUGAUCCUGAAGGAAAGACUUACUGGAAUUUCAAUGCACUGGUUGGUUUGUUUUUCCCUGCUGUAACGGGAAUUAUGGCAGGCUCUAAUAGAUCAGCCUCACUCAAGGACACACAGCGUUCAAUUCCUGUUGGUACAUUGGCUGCAACUCUUACAACUACUGCAUUAUACCUGAUUUCUGUGUUAUUUUUUGGAGCACUUGCAACCAGAGACAAACUUUUAACUGACAGGUUACUUACAGCCACCAUUGCUUGGCCAUUCCCUGCAAUUGUAUAUAUUGGUAUUAUUCUUUCAACUUUAGGAGCAGCUCUUCAAAGCCUGACAGGUGCUCCACGCCUACUUGCGGCAAUAGCAAAUGAUGAUAUUCUGCCUGUU